CAGAGUCUUAGCCACUGGUCCACCAGGGAAGUCCCUAGUGCUACAACACUGGUAGAUGUGCUCCAGUUUCUUUCCCAUUUACCUGAUGGGCUUUGCAGUUGUUUCCAGUCUUGGACUACUUUGACUGUUUUGGUGAUCAACAAAGGGACUCAGAGCAGACUUCUCUCCUUCACCUGAACACUACAAGGAACCAGAGCCUUGGUACCAGCAGAGGGCUCUUGUGCCCAUCCACCUCCUCAGAGAAUCCAGACAAAUUUGGAUGAAUCUCUUCUGGUUCUCAGAU